rnacentral:sRNA from 1 species
GCCAGGCGUUGUGGCAGGCGCCUGUGAUCCUAGCUACUCGGGAGGCUGAGGCAGAAGACUUGCUUGAGCCCAGGAGUUGGAGGUUGCUGUGAGCUGUGAUGCCACAGCAUCCUACUCAGGGGGACAGCUUGAUUCUCCUGUUUCAAAAAAAAAAAAAGAAAGAAAGAAAGAAACAGAGUCUCACUUUAUUGCCCUCGGUAGAGUACCAUGGCAUCACAGCUCACAGCAACCUCCAACUCCUGGGCUUAAGCAAUUCUCUUGCC